CCGAGACUCGGACGCGGCAGCGGCGGCGGCGGCGCCCCUGCAGGACGCGGAGCUGGCCCUGGCCGGCAUCAACAUGCUGCUCAACAACGGCUUCAGGGAGUCGGACCAGCUUUUCAAACAAUACAGAAAUCAUAGCCCACUAAUGAGUUUUGGAGCCAGCUUUGUCAGUUUUUUGAAUGCCAUGAUGACAUUUGAGGAAGAAAAAAUGCAAUUGGCAUGUGAUGACUUAAAAACCACAGAAAAACUGUGUGAAAGUGAAGAGGCUGGAGUAAUUGAAACAAUCAAGAAUAAAAUUAAGAAGAAUCUUAUAUCAAAGGUGGGUGGAUCCUUAGGAAAGCCUGGAAGAUUUACAAUAAAUGCUAUCUGGACAUCAAUGCCCUUCAGGAGCUAUAUCAGAAGAAGCUAACUGAAGAGUCCUUGACUUCUGAUGCUGCAAAUGAUAAUCACAUUGUGGCUGAAGGGGUGUCUGAGGAGUCUCUGAACAGACUGAAAGGUGCUG
rnacentral:sRNA from 1 species